UGGCAGGUAGCUCAAACGGUAGAGCGCCAACAUAGCCUGAAAAGGACGAUAGAAUUUAGGGUUAUCGCUUUUAACGAUCCCCCCCUUUAUUCACCGGAGAUGCGGGUUCAAAUCCCGCCCCGCUAC
rnacentral:tRNA from 1 species